UAAGGGACAGGACACUUGGUGCGCUUGUCGGGUAGGGUAGGUACAAACCAGUGCAACACCAUGCGCCGUAGCUGUCACGCAGCACGUCAUGCCUUCUUCUAGAGGCACGAUUCGGCGCCCUGUACCAACAACAUAUAAUAAAUCUGAUGGGAGAAGCACAAUAGAUGCAAGGAAUAAGAUAGGACGACAGCUGUCCGGCAGCAUGUGAAAGCCGCCAUCUUGGUGCAGCCGUUGGACCGUGUACGCGAGUUACAUGUUUGGCAGAGCAUUCAGAGAGCAGGUGAUUGCGGAACUGGAGAAGAUUGCUGGCGGUCAUGCGCUGAGCGUCCUUUCGACGUCGGAAGCGGGGGACAUUGUCGCACGAGGCCUCGAAACUCUCCUGGGCAUGCUCGCCAGCGAUGUGUCUGGCGGCUGUAGCUGCCGCAGUCCGGCUGUCAUCCACACCGACGACUCACGGAAUGAACGGAGCGCCCUGGCCAGAGCCUGGCCUGAAACCCGGCUGCUGCUGUGCCCUUUCCAGGCUCCACAGGCACCCUGGCGGUGGCUUUUUGAUGCGGUGCAUGACAUCGACCACCUGGCAUGUGAAGUAUUUUAUCCCAACGCUGCAAGUGCUACUGUAGCGCUGAAGCUCUGCAUCUCUCGUAACUUGUUAUUCAUACCUUAUAGCCCAAAAGGCUGCUGUAGGCGGCAACAUUUCCCUGUUUAGUACAUAUGUUUCUCAAUACGUCAUUGUUUGGUCACGUCAUCGUAUCUUACACAACAUUGAUUGCGGGCCAAUUGGUGGCUGUUAUUUCUAGAAAUCGUGCACGCGAACGCCAGACUUCAACGAAUUAAUGGUCUCCUGGGAAUAGUCUGCAUGUCUUCGCGGGGGUGUAGCUCACAAAAUGGAACGGGUUAGGUCUGAAGAAGGGAAGGGCUGUGAACUGCACCGAAUUAUUUUCAAAAUGGCUCUUUCAAUUCAAAACCCCAUACAAAUGUGGAACACUCCAUUUAAAAGACUCAUUGGCGGUGUCUUGCCCAUCGAACGGUCACAUUUCGACGUCGCUAAAGAGAAAUGACUAUCAUUUGGGCACAUUUGAUGUUUUAAAGAGAUAGUGUACGGAAUGGCGAGUGAAUUGCUCGUAAAUACA